rnacentral:rRNA from 1 species
GAUACUCAAUUUAAAGUGAGUAAACAUAAUUCCAUACUCGAUCUCAUAGAUCCCUAUAGAAUUCUGUGUAAAGUCGUAUUCGAUGAAAGUCGUAUGUACGGCUUGGAGGGAGAUCUUUCCUAUCUUUCGAGAUCCACCCUACAAUAUGGGGUCAAAAGGCAAAAAAAUAAGUGA